rnacentral:lncRNA from 1 species
AUGUGCCGUGUUGAUGGGGAAAAAUUCUAGAAUGCACCGGGUGCAUUGGUGACGUGGCGUCACAAAUCAAUCAAAUUUUUAUUUUUAGAGAUAUACAUUCCAUCAUGAUUAUAAAAAAAUAUUUUUAUUAUACUUUUGUUUGAAAAGAAGGGAUAUGAUUGGCUUGUUAUUGAUGACGUGGUGCAAGUGUGACAGUGUAGAAUUCCUCGUUGAUGGGACGCGUACUUGUCCAUGAGGGAACAAUGCAAAUUACUUAAAUAUUAGAAUGUGUAACAGCAAAAUUCUAGGCAUCCGUUUGGUUCGGGGUUAAGAAAAAAGUAGCUAUUUUAGGGAUAGAGUUAAGUUCAGAAUUAAAAUUUUUUUGUGUUUGGUUGGGGAUUAGAGUUAGUUUAGAAUAAUAAAAAAUAGUGUUUGGUUGGAGUAGAUGGGAUAAAAAGAUAAUGAUUGAUAAAGAAGGAUAAUGAUUGGUUGGAGUAAUGUGUGAUAAGAAAGAUAGUGGGUUAUUAUGAAUAGAAAAUAGCGUUUGGUUGGAGUUUGGUGGGGUUAGGUGGGGUUAGCUAACCCAGAAUAAUUUAUUUGAGGUGGGAUUAACUAACCCCAUCCAUUUUUUUGGGUGUUUGGGGAUAAAAUGGGGGUUAAGAGGUUAUUCAACCCCUUAACCCCCAACCAAACAAGGGCUAGAAGACUAAAAUAUUGCUAUACCGAUUGUCUCUAGAGCAAGUGGUAAAAGAAUUGGUGGUUGGUAUUCAAGAUCCAAGUUCGAAUCCUAGUUGAUUCACAUUUUCAGUUAAGUUUAUUUCUAAAUGAAAUAAACGAAGCGGGUAGUAUGGUACCUUUCUCUCAAAAAAAAUAUAUUGCCAUCAAACUGGAAAAGAAAAAAACAUACCUAGGCUGCGUUUGGUUCAAAAACUAAAUUCUAAGGGAUAACUUUUGUUGUUCCCGAAAACAGGAGAUAUUCCGAAAUAAGUUAGAACAACUAUAAAUCUGCGUUUGGAUGUUACUGGUUUGUUCCCAGAGAAUAUUCUUGAUAGUGUUUGGAUGUCACCGGUUUGCUCCCGGAGGAUAUUUUUUAUAGUGUUUGGAUGUUUAUGUUGGAAUAAGAUAUUGGAUUGAUAAAAUUUAAAUAGAAUAACAAUUUUGCCCUUGAAUAUUUUAUGGACUAUUUAAUAAAUAUUUCAAUGUUUGAGAA